rnacentral:lncRNA from 1 species
CUUUCUUUCUUUCUCUGUCUUUCCUCUUUCUCUCUUUCCUUCUUUCUUUUUUUUCUUCUUUCUUUCCUUCCUUCCUUCCUUCUUUCUUUUCUUUCUUUCCAUUUUUUUUCCUCCAGAAGAAUGGAAACAAUAUUCUUUUCCGAUCAGUUCAGUAAUACAAUGUCCUUCAGUGUCUAUAUGAGCAUUUCAGUGGAGAAGAAAAGAAACUUUGCUACCUGGGAACUGAAGACUGCUUAGUGAAGACCCUGGUGUUACACAUCCAAUCGUUCACCUCCUUCCAAGACAAUGACAUUCCAGGAAACCUUCACUGCUAAGAGGAACUGAGAUCUAGAGUAUCUCCUUGAGGAAGUACAACUGGAUUCUCCCCUCCUUGGCUCUUCCCUGGACCAAGGACAGAAGAAUCAUUCAACACAGAGGCUAUUGACAAAAGGGGCAUAUUUGGUGCAAAUAGGGGUAAGUCAUGAUUAGUUCA